GGGGAGCCUGCCUCGAGCUCUGGCAUCAGCGGUGAGGCUGAGCGAAUGCAGCUUCUUCCUCCUGGAUGGCCUCGCCCCACAGGCGCUCUUUGUAGAGGGGUCCCGGCAGUCCGGGAAAAGGCGGCUCUGCGCCCGCAGGCUCCCCGUAAAGGACUGAAAACACCUGAUCCGGUGGUUAAAAGCUGUUCACAGGGAUAACUGGACCCCCACUAAGUAUUCUUUCCUCUGUAGUGAACAUUUCCCCACGGGGGCCCUGAGAGAACAUGGGAGUGAAGCAGAUGGGAAAGUCGCUGCCAGUUCAUUGCCGUCCUUGAGUGAAAACCUGAGGGCCAAGCCGCUCUGCAGGGUGAGACUGCACCCAGGGCCUCCCAGGAAGCCGCCGGUCAGGAGUGGGUGCAGCAAUCUCUGGAAGGAACUCUAGGAGACAGUGUGGCCGCCACAAUGUCAGGUAGCCAGGCAGAAAUAAACACGUCUGCUGUAGAUGCUGGUGGUGAGACUGCACUUCCCCCACCGGGGGCUUGCUAGGUUCUUCUCCAAGCACACUCGAGAGAGGCCAUCUGUCCCCCCAGCGCUUGUCGAGCGAAGGAGGCUGUAGAGAGACAUGGAGCCCACCCGUCUGGGGCCUGACAAAGGCUUGGCCCAGAGCCCCCAAGUUCUCAUUCACAGCAAUGCCUCAGAAGCCCUCCCAGAGCUCCUCUGCCCCUCCAACAGUUGUCACCCCAAAGCCAGCUGUGGAAGCUGUGCAGAGUGAGCACAGUGACACCAGCCCCAUGUCCCUCAACGGGGUCAUCCUGUCAGCGUCGGGGGCCUGAGGUCUCCUCGACCUGCUGCUUCUCCUGGCAGAACAAGAGCAGGGGUGCUGCCUGCGGGAGCAGGUGGAGAAGAAGAACGGCGAGCUGUUCUACCAUGUGGCAGAGGGGCGGUGCCCUGACAGCCAAGUGCACAUGCUGCAGAAGCUGGACAAGCUGAGGAGAGUGGGCUUCCCCUUCUUGAGCAGGCUGCUGUCCCCCAGCUGAGGAAUGGAAUCUUAACACCAGUCCAUCGGGAAUCGCCUGAUGAGCACUGGGUAGUCAUCUGCCUGAGAGACCCCUGCCAUCCCCUAAAGGAAGUUUGGUGGCAGCAGUGGGGUCCAAAGGAGGCAUCUGAUGGUUUCAGGGAUGAGAAACAAGGCAUUGGUACCCACAAAACCUUUGAGUCCUCCAUCUUGUUCGCUGUUUCCGAGGACCAUGGGAAGGAGAUUCCAACCUGAUCCCCAUUGUGGAGGUUUGGAGACUGGGGAAGACCUGAGGCACAAUGACUUUCCCAGGACACAGAACUGAGCUCCACCCAGGACAUCCUCCAGGAGCUGGUGAAGGGGUUCAAAUACUCUUAUCUCCCUGGACAAGGAGCAGGUGCAUCAGGCCCCCAACAACAGCCAGCACUGGUCUGGGUCAGUGUGAAAAGGAUUCAACCCUGUCCCCUGAUCAGGCCCAUGUGAUGCUGACCCCAAGGCAGGCACAAUGGAGAACAUGGCAGAGUCCCUGGACUAGCCUCCCCAGGGAGAAGCUUGUGCACUGCUACCUUCCUGUGCACCCACCAGGCCUUCGGCACCGCCCAGCAGGUUUUAGACCAGCUGUCCCACAGCUAGAACAGUACCUGCAGAAUUCCUGGCGGCCCCUGCACUGUCCCUUCUUCAAGCUAAAGGGGCUGUACGUGCAGGUCACCUUUACUGACUCAGACGUGGAUUGCCAUCACCCUCUUCUGGUGGUCCACUUGGAGCUUCCAGAGGCCACUGAGGCAGAGCCGCAGGUGCCAGCUCCAGGUCUCCAGGCAACUGCAGAACCAGAACAGUGGCCAGUUAUGGAGGAGCUCUUCAGGAAGGUGGUGCCCUCUCAGUGCCUGAGCUCCUCCUGGUGCAAGAGGAUCAAGCCCAGGAAUGAGCACCUGGCACCCACCAUCCAGGCCACUGUUGACCAUUUCCAGAGGGUGGUCAACUUCAUCACAACCACCUGCCUCAGGGACCCGAGCAGAACAGCCCGGGACAGGGCCAGGUUGGUGGAGCACUGGAUCCAGGUGGCACAGGAGUGCAACAUCCUAAUGAACUUCUCACUACACACUGUCAUCUCUGCUCUGCAGAAAACCUCCAUAAGUCGCCUGGAGAACACAUGGGACGAAGUUUCCCGGAGAGCUCCGAAAACUUCAAGGAACUGUAUAGAAAAGACAAGUCCUUGAGCAGAGAACUGAUGACCAAGUCUGUCUUGUCCAGAUUAACAAGGGGAGGGAUCCUUUUGGUCCACGGGCAGGUGAGCUGAAGUUUGUGGGAAGGAGGCCCUGGUCUUGGGACAUUGUGGUGCUGGCUGGGCUGGCACAAUCAGCAGGUCUCCGGCUUCCAUGCAGGUCCAUCCUGUUAGACAUAGCUUCUUCCUGAGUGGUUGGCGUGGGUUUAGCCCUCAGCCUAAACCUGUCCUCAGGAAGCCAGGCCCUUGUUGCUCCCUCUGUCUUCACCUCAUCUCCAAGGGGAGGACACCCUGCCUGCCCCAGGGAUGGGCGUGGCAGGGGAUUCCCACGGCCCAGGUGGACAAACAGGCUCCUCAGCCUUGGGUCCAAAUGGCUGGACCAGGGACAGAUCCGUGUGUAUUCUGGGACUCCCCACUGGGUCCCUCAAGCAGUCACGGCCAGUCCAUCAUAGGAGUCCCACCUGAGUGCCUAGUUGGCAAUGACAUAUGUCCCAAGUGGCUUAGGAGAAGUGUCUGGGGACAUGAUGGAUUUUCAGUGGAUCCUUCCUGAUCGGAUGUCAGAGGCUUCAUGUAAACGAGGGAGCAAAGCAUCUUGUCACCCCCUUGCCUGCUGAUCAGAGGUGGUACCUUGGGGUCCACAUCCUGAGUGGACGAAGAGAGUUCUGUUCAGGGGAAUGUCCUGAGGGGUUCUUUAGGGAAGCGAAGGCUUUGACAUGGCCUCGGUUCCAGCCUGGGGGCCAGACAUUCCAGGGGCCUGGGCUAGGUAGGAGCCACUCAACCAGGUUCCCAGGACACCCUAUCCCUCUCCAUCCAUGCCUUGACUGAGGAUGCACCUCGACAGCUCAGGGCACAGGGCUCUGGUCAGUGGUGGGGCUGGGGGUUAGGUGAGGACAUUGGAAGAGGGCCUCUGGCUGGGAGGGGCAAGCGGCCUCUCCUCUGUGGCCCCUGAGCAGCUUGCUACCCCUGUUGGGCCUCUGUCUCCUCAUUGGGGAGAUGCAGGGAUGAUGGUCUUGUGGUGCAGGCCUCACAGGAGGGCGAUGGGAUAAAAGAGAGGAAAGGAGCAUGCGGAGCUUUCUGCCCCGCUCCCCCUGGAGGGGUGAGGGGAGGGCAGUGAUGACAGUCAUGGCAGGAGUCCUCAGGAGACCCUGUGAGGGAGGGGGAGGAUCACCCUUUCCAGAUGAGGAAACAGGCUCAGGGAGACCAGCCCACAGGCCCAAGCUCACACUCCAAGUGAGAGUUGGAGCUGGGCCUGUUCUAGAAUCAGAACACCCUGGAGGAUGGACUAGCCUUGGUGCCAGUUGACUUGGGUCAGAUGUCCAAGAUAGGAGGCCGGUGGAGCUGGAGAGAAGUGGGAUGUGGCCUCACUGACCCUGUCCUCGACCCUGGCAGGAGGGGCCCUCCACAUUUGCCAUGCCAGAGAUACACCCCCAGAGAGUCCAGGAGCAGCAGCAGCAGCAACAGUGGGUGAGGGUGCCUGGGGGGAGGAGCUCCAGGGUCAGAGGAGAGGGGCUCUGCCCUCCCAGCUGGAGGCCUCAGACCCAGAGAGCAGGGCCCUGGCUCCUGCAGCCCUGCCUCCUGAUGCCACAGUGCCUGAGUCCCAGUAGAAGGGACCAGAUCAGGAGGGCCUGGAAGAGCUGGUGCAGGAUGGAUUUGUGGUGGGGAGGGACAGGGACCACAUUCCCUGUCACUUGCUGGAAUCCAGCCCUGGGAUCUAAUGAGGAGGAGUGCGGUGUUCUUGGGAUGUGAAGGGAGGGGAGUUGAGGGGAGGCUGCUAAGUGUCCUUGGCAGCUCAACGUGGGAGCUCUGGGGUGGGCCAGGAGGCUGAGGGGAGGACUUUUCAGGGGAGGGUCUGUGGGAGACUUGAGAGCAAGGGCUCAUUCCCACCCCGACGUCACAGGGUGUCAUCCCCUGUCUUGGCACUUUUCUCCAUGACCUGGUAAUGCUGCAUCUGGCAAUGGGUGCUUAUCUUGAGGUGGGUGAGCCUGGGGACCAGGCAAGGGGACCAGGAUCCUGAGGCUUGGGGCUCAGGAGCCCCAGAACUGAGCCCUGAGCUCCCAGCACCAGGCACAUCUCCUCUCAGGAGAGCCUCCAGCCACCCCGGGAGCCAGGGCGUCAGGCCCAUCUCAGGGAUGGGUGAACAGAGGCUCCGUGUGAGACCCCAUUCCAUCCCCAAGGCUGAUGAGGCAGCAGAGUCGCCUGAGCGCACAGCUGCGAGAGGUAUGUGAGCUGGACUCAGCCUCUCCCUCCCACGGUGCCCAUGCAGGAACAGAGAAGUCGGGCCCCUCCAGUUGGGCAGCACAUGAGUGGCUGAGCUGUCCCUUUUGCCUGAGGCCGCAGCCUCCAAGUCUGUCAUCUGAGAGAGUUGGGCUACGAGGUCCCUCAGCCGCAUGUCCUCCUCCUCUGGAGCCCAGAGCCCGGCCCAGGGGAAGGAGAUCAACCUUGAGAAAAGGACUGAGGACUGCAGAGCCAUGAGGGAGACCCUGCUGUUCCGGGUGGCUGCAAACAAUUACAGGCUAGAGCCCGAGGAAACAUUUGGGGCCUAGUUCCGGGACAGGGAGCUGCUCAGUGAUAAUGAGAGCUGAGGCCAGCUGGAGUCAGGGAAGGACUCUCCCUGGUGGCCAGUCCAGAGAGCCUGUGCCCAUGGCCCCGGUCAGCCCCAAGCCUUGUUGCGUGGUGAACUCUGGGACACCCAGACUCGAGCUGCUGGCAGGCAGUGGGGGUACACCUGAAGUGUGGCUCCUGGCUGGCUCACAGUCCCUCUCUGUCCUGUUGCUGCAGCCAGUCUUGCCGGCUGGAGCCCCCAUCAUGGUUGGCCAGCAGAAUACUCAAGGCCGAGAAGAAAGAGUUAUCAUCAAGUUCAGGCAUAAGUGUCUGGGCUGAUGGUGACUGAAUCCUAGGGGUUUAGUAAAGCUUCAGGCUAAGCGUGGUCUUGGGGAGUCAGACAGCUGGUGCUGGGAUCCCAGCCCCACCACUGACCAGUCCUGUGACUGGGGAGAUUCCCUUCAGCUUCCUGAGACUCAGUUUACUCCUCUGUGAAAUAGGUGGUGGCAGAUGAAUGUGGCAGGGACGAAUAGGAUACUAUUGGCUGACUGAACACAGGGCCUGGAGCACAGAGUGUGGUAGGGGUGGGGAGGGGGGCCAUGAUUCUGGGGGAGGCACCUCAAGAUAACCUGAC